UUGCUAACCACAAGUCCCCCUUGCUCCCACCCUCCCAAAAAAAUGCACAACAAAAAAAAAGAAAGGGAAAAGAGUCCUUGCUAACCAUAAAGCUUGAAUUGCCAUUUGUAGGUCUGUUGGCAGGGGUGUUCUUUGCCAGAGCAAAAAUACGGGAGAGAUCAUAAUCUUAAAAAAUUGGUCUUGGCUAUUUAUUCCUACUCUGGCCUUAACUAAGAAUGAGCAUCCCAGUUUAUAUGCUUCGGGUCACUUAACUAUCAUUAACACGGAUCAUAAUUCUUACACGGGGAAUAUCCUUUGGAGGGGUUUCAUUUCAUCCUGUGAUUUUCUGAGUUUCAAGGAAGGAAAGUACCAUUUUGGUGUAUGAUUGUGUUGUAACCAUCGAAUAACCUGCUGCUAAUUCUUCUUAUUUGUAUUGCUAUGGGGAAAGUGUUUAUUCCCAUUUAUAACAUUUUGCAAGAGACAUUCAAACAGAGGAGUGGUUAGCAUGAAGUUAAUUUUGGUCAAUUGAUCAAUACAGUGUUGACAUGCAGGCGGAAUGUGAUCUCUCUACGUGUCAACACUGUAUUGGUCAAAUGACCAACUUACUAUGAAGUUAUGGUAAUCGGAUCCUUCAAACAGUUAGAUGAUUGAUAUAUGUAUUUGUAAGAAAGCAAAAUGAAGUAUAGGUGAAAGAGGCAUAUGCACCCUUCUUUUUCUUCUCUCUUUUUGGUUUGUCGACAUAAGUGUGUUUACAGUCCUCAGUUAUAAAUUAUAAGAGAUUCGUGCUUCCGGUCUAAUACUGCCGGAGUGAUUGUAAUUACAUAUUAUGGUUUAGCCUUAAAAAUAAUGAUAUAU
rnacentral:lncRNA from 1 species